UACGUAGGGGGCAAGCGUUGUCCGGAAUCAUUGGGCGUAAAGAGCUCGUAGGCGGCUCGUCGCGUCGACCGUGAAAACCCGCGGCUUAACUGCGGGCUUGCGGUUGAUACGGGCGGGCUAGAGUUCGGUAGGGGAGACUGGAAUUCCUGGUGUAGCGGUGAAAUGCGCAGAUAUCAGGAGGAACACCGGUGGCGAAGGCGGUUCUCUGGGCAUUACCUGACGCUGAGGAGCGAAAGUGUGGGGAGCGAACAGG
rnacentral:rRNA from 1 species